rnacentral:tRNA from 1 species
GCUAGUGUGGCUCAGUAGGUAGAGCAGCUCACUCGUAAUGAGCAGGUCGCCCGUUCGAAUCGGGUCACUAGCU